AGUAGUGCCGACACUGAAACAAAACUGGCCGCCCUGAGUAGCAAAAUGAAAACGCUAGGUCGAACUUAUGCCUAGUCAGAGCAAUUUUUCCCUUUGGAGUUCUUCGUUAAGACCCUGGAAACAUAUUCAGUUCACUCAAUCAUUUGCAAACCAAAUAUAAGCAUUGGGUUGGUACAAAAACCUCUGCCUGGUAAUAAAGUGCAUUCACAGAGCAUUCGACAAGACCGAGAUACGGGCUUUACUGAACAAUCGAUGCGCUGCUGUUGUUAUCAACUUGGAAGAAGUAUGAAAGAAUGGCAUCAAGACUUACCAGUUAUCAGCAUGCAGCAAGUGAAGACGAGAGUAGCGGUGCCUAAACGAUAUGGAAUAAAGACUAAUAAAGCCAUUGAUUUGGUAUGGUGCUGCUGGUGGCCGCAAAGGAGACAGUCAUUAACAAGACAUUUUCCAAAUUAUGCGUAAAGGAACACUGGAUGAUUUUGUGCAGUCUUCGGGAAAACGGCUCCCACAAGGAUACGACGGAGAAGGAAUGCAGGAUGUAUUGUGCUGUCAAUGGUGGUCGAGCACCGACUGCCGGAGAUCAAGCCGGAACAUCCCAUAUAUAGUAACGUGCUGCUAACUAAAAGCGUCUGCCGACGCGAUGCUUCCACAUAAUAUCGGAUGUGCUCGAGAAACUAUGGAUGGUGUAGGCUACAUCUGCAGGACCAAAUUAAGCCAUCAAGAUAAUAUAAAUGAUUAACAAAUUAAGCAAGUUAAGCAACGAUAACCCAGUUGGGUUAAAUAUAUGAUUCAUGCAUGCUGAAAUAAAAUGUAUACCACCCUGAAGAGGCAAGCAUUAAUGCCAGCAAUGUAGACUAAAAAUUACAUGUAAGGAAAUCCAGCAGGGACCUUUCUUGCAAAACUUGUUUGGUCUUUGAAGUUUUUUUACUAAAAAGAGAUCCUACGACAAUAAUAUGGUAUUUAAGGACCUACCUGACUGGUUUAAAAUGGAAUACACAUUUUCCUCGCAAA